CAUCGUGAGGUGGAAGUGGAGGAAGUGUGUAUCAAAAUCAUGGCUCGAUGUACAAAAACUUGAUAUUAAGGCUAUGCAAGAGGGUAAGGCUACAUAACAAGUCAAAGUCCAAAAGAUAUACGUAACCUUGUAUAGUAAAUUAAGCGAGUAAAUGAGGAAAGUUAA
rnacentral:ncRNA from 1 species